rnacentral:rRNA from 1 species
AACGAACGCUGGCGGCAGGCUUAACACAUGCAAGUCGAGCGCCCCGCAAGGGGAGCGGCAGACGGGUGAGUAACGCGUGGGAAUCUACCCAUCCCUACGGAAUAACGCAUGGAAACGUGUGCUAAUACCGUAUACGUCCUUCGGGAGAAAGAUUUAUCGGAGAUGGAUGAGCCCGCGUUGGAUUAGCUAGUUGGUGGGGUAAAGGCCUACCAAGGCGACGAUCCAUAGCUGGUCUGAGAGGAUGAUCAGCCACACUGGGACUGAGACACGGCCCAGACUCCUACGGGAGGCGGCAGUGGGGAAUAUUGGACAAUGGGCGCAAGCCUGAUCCAGCCAUGCCGCGUGAGUGAUGAAGGCCCUAGGGUUGUAAAGCUCUUUCACCGGUGAAGAUAAUGACGGUAACCGGAGAAGAAGCCCCGGCUAACUUCGUGCCAGCCGCCGCAGUAAGAC